rnacentral:rRNA from 1 species
AGCGAACGCUGGCGGCAGGCUUAACACAUGCAAGUCGAGCGGACCUGUCGGGGUCAGCGGCGGACGGGUGGGUAACGCGUGGGAACGUGCCUUCCGGUUCGGAAUAACCCUGGGAAACGAGGGCUAAUACCGGAUACGCCCUUAUGGGGGAAGGUUUACUGCCGGAGGAUCGGCCCGCGGCUGAUUAGCUAGUUGGUGGGGUAACGGCCUACCAAGGAGACGAUCAGUAGCUGGUCUGAGAGGAUGAUCAGCCACACUGGGACUGAGACACGGCCCAGACUCCUACGGGAGGCAGCAGUGGGGAAUAUUGGACAAUGGGCGCAAGCCUGAUCCAGCCAUGCCGCGUGAGUGAUGAAGGCCUUAGGGUUGUAAAGCUCUUUUAUCCGGGACGAUAAUGACGGUACCGGAGGAAUAAGCCCCGGCUAACUUCGUG